rnacentral:miRNA from 3 species
CGGAACAUAAGGGCCCCUGGGA